CCUACGGGAGGCAGCAGUAGGGAAUAUUGCUCAAUGGGGGAAACCCUGAUGCAGCAACGCCGCGUGGAGGAUGAAGGUUUUCGGAUUGUAAACUCCUUUUGUUAGAGAAGAUAAUGACGGUAUCUAACGAAUAAGCACCGGCUAACUACGUGCCAGCCGCCGCGGUAAUACGGAGGGUGCCAGCGUUACUCGGAAUCACUGUGCGUAAAGAGAGCGUAGGCGGGAUAGCAAGUCAGAUGUGAAAUCCUAUGGCUUAACCAUAGAACUGCAUGUGAAACUGUUAUUCUAGAGUAUGGGAGAGGUAGGUGGAAUUCUUGGUGUAGGGGUAAAAUCCGUAGAGAUCAAGAGGAAGACUCAUUGCGAAGGCGACCUGCUAGAACAUAACUGACGCUGAUGCGCGAAAGCGUGGGGAGCAAACAGGAUUAGAUACACUUGUAGUC
rnacentral:rRNA from 1 species